AUUGAACGCUGGCGGCAUGCCUUACACAUGCAAGUCGAACGGCAGCACGGGGGCAACCCUGGUGGCGAGUGGCGAACGGGUGAGUAAUGCAUCGGAACGUACCUGGAAGUGGGGGAUAACGUAGCGAAAGUUACGCUAAUACCGCAUAUUCUGUGAGCAGGAAAGCAGGGGACCGCAAGGCCUUGCGCUUUCGGAGCGGCCGAUGUCGGAUUAGCUAGUUGGUGGGGUAAAGGCUUACCAAGGCGACGAUCCGUAGCGGGUCUGAGAGGAUGAUCCGCCACACUGGGACUGAGACACGGCCCAGACUCCUACGGGAGGCAGCAGUGGGGAAUUUUGGACAAUGGGCGCAAGCCUGAUCCAGCCAUGCCGCGUGAGUGAAGAAGGCCUUCGGUUGUAAG
rnacentral:rRNA from 1 species